CAUCCUGGGGGAAGAGCUCACUGAGGAACCCUCCAUGCCAGAACCCCUUCCAGCACCUCACAUCACCAACAACAUCCUGGAGGAAGAGCUCAUUGAGGAAACCUCAAUGCCAGAACCCCUUCCAACACCUUGCAUCACCAAUGACCUACUGGGGAAUGUGCUCAUUGAGGAUACCUCAGUGCCAGGUCCUUCCAUCCUCACAGACACUCCAAAGGAAGCAGCUUCUGUGUCAGAGCCCUUACUUGAGCCUUCCACUGCUGAUAAUUAUCUCCACCAAGAAGUAGAACUCCUCAAAGGGUUACAGCAUGACUAUGUCCAGCAGCAACUGUGGGUUCGCCGCAUUUCCCAACAGUUCCCUAGUUCUCUCUGGGCCAUCAACCUGCAAAUUGGACACACGUGGACAAGGCUCAUCCGCAGUGAAGUUCGGCUGCAGCGGUGAGAAAGGGAAGGUAUGGUCACAGCAUGUCCCUGAAAUUGCUGCUGGGCUAAGAACGGCUCUUUUGUUUAUUUCAUGUUGAAAUGCUUGAUUUGUGUCUGCAUCUAAGGUUUCAGUGGGGAGGCCUGUGAGUGGGUUGUCAGUGCUUGCUGAAGUGUUCCUUCGUUUUCUGUCUUUCAUGUGUCCAAGCUCCAGUGCCUGUAAUCCAAGCAGCUUCUCAGAGUGAGCAGUGAGGGCAAGUGAUGGUGGGUGUGGUAGGAUGUCAGCCUUUGCAGCUGACCUCCUGUUCUUCUUCUUUCUUGCAGAUGUUCCUGCAGGCCCUGCUGCACUUCUCCAGCCCUCUGGGUCUGAGUCAUCAUUAUCCUCUGCCUCCCUUGACGUUGCCUCCAUCCCACCCUCCACCUCCACCUCUUUCCUCCUCCUGCAUCCCUCUCCACCUCCCCCUCCUUCCCCACCUCCUCUGGAGCCGGACCUCAGCAAUGUGAAAGAAACUCUGCAGAGUUUGGUAGAGAUGCAGGUUCAUCAGCUGCGUGACCGCCAAAGAGACCUCCGCAGCUGCCAGGAAUGCUUACAAAGCUUCAAGGCACUGAGGGGACAAUUGAGGCGGCUAAGGAGCAGACUGGCCAGGGUGGAAGCCACUAUGGGGAUCGUGGUUCCUCCAAGGGAGCGGGACGUUGCUGAGGAAGAAGGGGAAGGCAAAUUAAAAGAGACAACUGUGCUACUAUUUACAUAAGUAGCAAUAAAAUGCUGUGUAUAUAUUUUUUUAAUUAAAUAUUUGUUUUAAUAGGAUGUAGAGAUAGAACAGCAAUAAAACUUGCAUAUUUAUUGUUUAAAAAAAUAAAAUGUUUUAUUUUAA